GUCCACGCCCUAAACGAUGGAUGCUAGACGUAAGAGGUAUCGACCCCUCUUGUGUCGCAGCUAACGCAUUAAGCAUCCCGCCUGGGGAGUACGGCCGCAAGGUUGAAACUCAAAUGAAUUGACGGGGGACCCCGCACAAGCGGUGGAGCAUGUGGAUUAAUUCGAUACUAACCGAAGAACCUUACCCAGGUUUGACAUCGGAUCGAAAGCCUAAGAGAUUAGGCCCUGAACCACAAGUUCACGUGAAGACAGAUGUUGCAUGGCUGUCGU
rnacentral:rRNA from 1 species